AAGGGCGCACGGUGGAUGCCUUGGCACUAGAAGCCGAUGAAGGACGUGACUAACGACGAAAUGCUUUGGGGAGUUGUAAGUAAACAUUGAUCCAGAGAUGUCCGAAUGGGGGAACCCGGCAUGUGAAGCAUGUCACUCAUUACUGUUAAGGUAAUG
rnacentral:sRNA from 1 species